AUUGAACGCUGGCGGCAGGCCUAACACAUGCAAGUCGAACGAGUGGCGGACGGGUGAGUAAUGUCUGGGAAACUGCCUGAUGGAGGGGGCUAACUACUGGAAACGGUAGCUAAUACCGCAUACCAUCGGAUGUGCCCAGAUGGGAGUAGCGAGUAGGUGGGGUAAAGGCUAACCUAGGCGACGAUCCCUAGCUGGUCUGAGAGGAUGACAAGCCACGCUUGAACUGAGACACGGUCCAGACCCCUACGGGAGGCAGCAGUGGGGAUUAUUGCACAAUGGGCGCAAGCCUGAUGCAGCCAUGCAGCGUGUAUGAAGAAGGCCUUCGGGUUGUAAAGUACUUUCAGCGGGGAUGCGUUACCCGCAGAAGAAGCACCGGCUAACUCCGUGCCAGCAGCCGCUGUAAUAC
rnacentral:rRNA from 1 species